rnacentral:pre_miRNA from 1 species
GCACCUCGGGUUGAGUCUACCGGGAUUGGAGAUAGCGUUGGGGAAGGAGAGCGAGGAGGGGAUCUUACUUGCCUUGGGGCUGUUCCUGUCCUGGCGGAGCCCUAGGC